CAAAAUGGCGACCUUGACUUGCACCCAAAUUCUGUUGGCUAUCGGAAUGCUCAUCUCAGGAUCGAUAAACACCCUGUCAAAGAAAGCACAAAAUGACUGCUCAGCUAAGGGAUUGAAAGAUGAGCAUGGCAAUGAAGUUCACAAAUUUGACCAUCCAUGGUUUCAAACAGGUCUAAUGUUUAUUGGGGAGACCAUGUGUUUGAUUGGUCUCUGCAUUCAUAGAAGAAGAGAAAGACAGAAAUUCAAACAGAAUUUAUUGAAUGUCAAUAGAGAUGAAAUUAGGGAUGGAUCUUCAAUAGAAAUAGCUCAACAACCAAGAGUGUUCCAGUGGAUCUUUGCCUUUCCUACCGUUUGUGAUUUGUUUGGAACCACUUUGGGAGGAAUUGGUCUUCUUUAUGUCAAUGCAUCAGUAUGGCAAAUGCUCAGAGGUUCAAUAAUCAUAUUUACUGGUGUGCUAUCUAAAAUCUUCCUCAAGAGAAAGUUGUGGCCAAUUCACUGGAUUGGAAUGGUUGUUACCAUGCUUGGUUUAGUUCUUGUUGGAUUAUCAAGUGUUCUCAGGGACAACCACCAAGGAGCGUCCCAGGGACAAGUUGUCUUUGGAAUUGUUUUGAUCUUGGCUGGUCAAAGUGUCAGUGCUACACAGAUGAUAGUAGAAGAAUUAUUUCUAAAGAAAAAGAACUUCCAUCCUUUGCAGGUUGUUGGGAUGGAAGGCUUUUUUGGAGUCAUUUUCAUGACUGUUAUAGUCCUGCCAGUGUUGUACUACAUUCCAGGAGAACAAAAUCACCACAGCUAUGAAAACAGUCUUGAUGCUCUGCUGAUGAUCAAGAAUAAUGCUAAAUUGUUGAUUAUGUCAGUUUUAUAUAUCUGCUCUAUUUCAUUUUACAAUUUCUUUGGACUGUCAGUCACAAAGUCUUUAACAGCGGUUCACAGGACGUUAAUAGAUGCAUGCAGAACUAUUGUGGUUUGGCUUGUGGACCUAUUCAUUCACUAUGUCUUUGAUGAGAGUUUUGGUGAAGCUUGGGACAAAAGAUAUGGUAUCUUUCAAGUCGAUGGAUUUCUCUUUUUGAUGCUCGGUACAGCUCUUUAUAAUGAGCUAUUGAUUAUUCCUCCAUUGAUGCCCAAGCCUGAGCCUUCACAGCAGGCUCAAGCCUCUGAUGACCAACAAGAUGAAAGCCUGGACUCAGGCGAGAAUGAACCAUUAUUGAGAGGCCGAGACCAAACAGAACCUUACACAGGGGUUGUAUGAAGAUAUGCCUUGAUUUGAACCAAUCAGAAUAACCCUUUGCAAUUACUUUUGACUUGACGAAAAGAGCGCAUUCCUCAAUAUCGCGGAAAAUCGUCACGAGAUGCAGAAGUACGAUCACUGAACUGCUCUAUUACAUCUCGAUCUGGAUUACGCAUGCUAGAAAUCUUUUCACCAAAGU
rnacentral:misc_RNA from 1 species